UACCCACCUCUGUUGCUUUGGCGGGCCGCGGUCCUCCGCGGCCGCCCUCCGUCCGGGGGGUGGCCAGCGCCCGCCAGAGGACCAUCGAACUCCGGUCAGUGAACGUUGCCGUCUGAAAAACAAUCAAUAAACUAAAACUUUCAACAACGGAUCUCUUGGUUCUGGCAUCGAUGAAGAACGCAGCGAAAUGCGAUAAGUAAUGUGAAUUGCAGAAUUCAGUGAAUCAUCGAAUCUUUGAACGCACAUUGCGCCCCUCGGUAUUCCGAGGGGCAUGCCUGUUCGAGCGUCAUUACAACCCUCAAGCUCUGCUUGGUGUUGGGCACCGCCCUUCCGCGGGCGCGCCUCAAAGACCUCGGCGGUGGCGUCUUGCCUCGAGCGUAGUAGAAAACACCUCGCUUUGGAGCGCACGGCGCCGCCCGCCGGACGAACCUUUUGAACUUUCUCAAGGUUGACCUCGGAUCAGGUAG
rnacentral:rRNA from 1 species